GACGAACGCUGGCGGCGUGCCUAAUACAUGCAAGUCGAACGCUUCUUUCCUCCCGAGUGCUUGCACUCAAUUGGAAAGAGGAGUGGCGGACGGGUGAGUAACACGUGGGUAACCUACCCAUCAGAGGGGGAUAACACUUGGAAACAGGUGCUAAUACCGCAUAACAGUUUAUGCCGCAUGGCAUAAGAGUGAAAGGCGCUUUCGGGUGUCGCUGAUGGAUGGACCCGCGGUGCAUUAGCUAGUUGGUGAGGUAACGGCUCACCAAGGCCACGAUGCAUAGCCGACCUGAGAGGGUGAUCGGCCACACUGGGACUGAGACACGGCCCAGACUCCUACGGGAGGCAGCAGUAGGGAAUCUUCGGCAAUGGACGAAAGUCUGACCGAGCAACGCCGCGUGAGUGAAGAAGGUUUUCGGAUCGUAAAACUCUGUUGUUAGAGAAGAACAAGGACGUUAGUAACUGAACGUCCCCUGACGGUAUCUAACCAGAAGGCCACGGCUAACUACG
rnacentral:rRNA from 1 species